UUYCUGGCAWUAAAUACUGACACUGAGGCUCGAAAGCGUGGGUAGCAAACAGGAUUAGAUACCCUGGUAGUCACGCCGUAACGAUGUCUACUAGUCGUUGGGUCCCUUGAGGACUUAGUGACGCAGCUAACGCAAUAAGUAGACCGCCUGGGGAGUACGCCGCAAGGUUAAAACUCAAAUGAAUUGACGGGGGCCCGCACAAGCGGUGGAGCAUGUGGUUUAAUUCGAUGCAACGCGAAGAACCUUACCUGGUCUUGACAUAUCUAGAAUCCUGCAGAGAUGCGGGAGUGCCUUCGGGAAUUAGAAUACARRWRMWRMAUGGCUGUCGUCAGCUCGUGUCGUGAGAUGUUGGGUUAAGUCCCGCAACGAGCGCAACCCUUGUCCUUAGUUACCAGCGGGUUAAGCCGGGAACUCUAAGGAUACUGCCAGUGACAAACUGGAGGAAGGCGGGGACGACGUCAAGUCAUCAUGGCCCUUACGACCAGGGCUACACACGUGCUACAAUGGUAGGUACAGAGGGCAGCUACACAGCGAUGUGAUGCGAAUCUCAAAAAGCCUAUCGUAGUCCAGAUUGGAGUCUGCAACUCGACUCCAUGAAGUAGGAAUCGCUAGUAAUCGCGGAUCAGAAUGCCGCGGUGAAUASGUUCCCGGGCCUUGUACACACCGCCCGUCACACCMYSKGUGUUAUUGCACCAGAAGUGGAUAGCUUAACCUUCGGGGGAGCGUUCACCA
rnacentral:rRNA from 1 species